UACGAAGGGUGCAAGCGUUACUCGGAAUUACUGGGCGUAAAGCGUGCGUAGGUGGUUCGUUAAGUCUGCCGUGAAAGCCCUGGGCUCAACCUGGGAACUGCAUCCAAAACUACUGAGCUAGAGUACGGUAGAGGGUAGUGGAAUUUCCUGUGUAGCGGUGAAAUGCGUAGAUAUAGGAAGGAACACCAGUGGCGAAGGCGACUACCUGGACUGAUACUGACACUGAGGUGCGAAAGCGUGGGGAGCAAACAGG
rnacentral:rRNA from 1 species